UAACGAAACUGCGAAUAGCUCAUUAAUACGCUCAGAAUCUAUUUGGCGGCGACCAACAGGUCUUAAAUGGAUAGCAGCAGCAACUCUGGUGCUAAUACAUGCGAUUGUUUCUCCAGAUGUGAAUUAUGGAGGAAAAGUUGACCUCAUCAGAGGCACGCCAUUCGACUGAGUGACCUAUCAGCUUGUACUUAGGGUCUUUACCUAGGUAGGCUAUCACGGGUAACGGGCGGUUACCGUCGGACUGCCGGAGAAGGCGCCUGAGAGAUAGCGACUAUAUCCACGGGUAGCAGCAGGCGCGAAACUUUCCCACUCGAGACUUUCGGAGGAGGUAAUGACCAGUUCCAUUGGUGCCUUUUGGUACUGUGGAUAGGGGUACGGUUUUCCACCGUACCGAAACCUAGCAGAGGGCCAGUCUGGUGCCAGCAGCUGCGGUAAUUCCAGCUCUGCGAGUUUGCUCCCAUAUUGUUGCAGUUAAAACGCCCGUAGUCUGAAUUGGCCAGCAAUGGUCGUACGUAUUUUUACGUUCACUGUGAACAAAUCAGGACGCUUAGAGUAUGGCCACAUGAAUGACUCAGCGCAGUAUGAAGUCUUUGUUUUCUUCCGAAAACAAGCUCAAUGAGAGCCAUCGGGGGUAGAUCUAUCUCAUGACGAGUGGUGGAAUACUUUGACUCAUGAGAGAGAAGCUGAGGCGAAGGCGUCUACCUAGAGGGUUUCUGUCGAUCAAGGGCGAGAGUAGGAGUAUCCAACAGGAUUAGAGACCCUGGUAGUUCCUACCUUAAACGAUGCCGACAGGAGUUUGUCAUUUGUUAAUGGCAGAAUCUUUGGAGAAAUCAUAGUUCUUGGGCUCUGGGGGAACUACGACCGCAAGGCUGAAACUUGAAAGAAUUGACGGAACGGCACACCAUGGGUGGAGCCUGUGGCUUAAUUUGAAUCAACACGGGGAAACUUACCAGGACCAGAUGUUUUUUAUGACUGACAGCUCAGGUCUUUCACGAUAUGUUUUUGUGUGCAUGGCCGUUGGUGGUGCGUGGGUUGACCUGUUCUAG
rnacentral:ncRNA from 2 species